rnacentral:rRNA from 1 species
UACGAACGCUGGCGGCGUGCUUAACACAUGCAAGUCGAACGGAAAGGCCCUGCUUUUGUGGGGUGCUCGAGUGGCGAACGGGUGAGUAACACGUGAGUAACCUGCCCUUGACUUUGGGAUAACUUCAGGAAACUGGGGCUAAUACCGGAUAGGAGCUCCUGCUGCAUGGUGGGGGUUGGAAAGUUUCGGCGGUUGGGGAUGGACUCGCGGCUUAUCAGCUUGUUGGUGGGGUAGUGGCUUACCAAGGCUUUGACGGGUAGCCGGCCUGAGAGGGUGACCGGCCACAUUGGGACUGAGAUACGGCCCAGACUCCUACGGGAGGCAGCAGUGGGGAAUAUUGCACAAUGGGCGGAAGCCUGAUGCAGCAACGCCGCGUGCGGGAUGACGGCCUUCGGGUUGUAAACCGCUUUCGCCUGUGACGAAGCGUGAGUGACGGUAAUGGGUAAAGAAGCACCGGCUAAGUACGUG